rnacentral:rRNA from 1 species
GACGAACGCUGGCGGCGUGCUUAACACAUGCAAGUCGAGCGGUAAGGCCCUUUCGGGGUACGACGAGCGGCGAACGGGUGAGUAACACGUGGGUGACCUGCCCUCCAGCUCUGGGAUAAGCCUGGGAAACCGGGUCUAAUACUGGAUAUGACUCCAUGACGGCAUGUUGUGGGGUGGAAAGCCUUGUGCGGCUGAGGAUGGGCCCGCGGCCUAUCAGCUUGUUGGUGGGGUGAUGGCCUACCAAGGCGACGACGGGUAGCCGGCCUGAGAGGGCGACCGGCCGACACUGGGACUGAGACACGGCCCAGACUCCUACGGGAGGCAGCAGUGGGGAAUCUUGCGCAAUGGGCGAAAGCCUGACGCAGCGACGCCGCGUGAGGGAUGACGGCCU